rnacentral:rRNA from 1 species
UACGAAGGGUGCAAGCGUUAUUCGGAGUGACUGGGCGUAAAGAGCGCGUAGGCGGUCUUAUAAGUCGUUUGUUAAAUUCCACAGCUUAACUGUGGGUCAGCAGGCGAUACUGUAAGGCUAGAGGGUAAGAGAGAGCAGUGGAAUUCUCGGAGUAGCGGUAAAAUGCGUAGAUCUCGAGAGGAACACCGGUGGCGAAGGCGGCUGCUUGGCUUAUACCUGACGCUGAGGCGCGAAAGCGUGGGGAGCAAACAGGAUUAGAAACCCCUGUAGU